UACGUAGGGUGCAAGCGUUGUCCGGAAUUAUUGGGCGUAAAGAGCUCGUAGGCGGUUCGUCGCGUCGGCUGUGAAAUCCCGAGGCUCAACCUCGGGUCUGCAGUCGAUACGGGCGGACUGGAGUACUGCAGGGGAGACUGGAAUUCCUGGUGUAGCGGUGAAAUGCGCAGAUAUCAGGAGGAACACCGGAGGCGAAGGCGGGUCUCUGGGCCGUAACUGACGCUGAGGAGCGAAAGCAUGGGGAGCGAACAGG
rnacentral:rRNA from 1 species